rnacentral:rRNA from 1 species
AUUGAACGCUGGCGGCAGGCCUAACACAUGCAAGUCGAACGCGUCGGGGGGGGGUGAGUAAUGUCUGGGACACUGCCUUAUGGAGGGGUAUAACUACUGGACACUGUCUCUAAUCCCGCAUUCUCUCGGAUGUGCCCAUAUGGGAUUCGCUAGUAGGUGGGGUAAAGGCUCACCUCGGCGACUAUCCCUCGCUGGGGUGAGAGGAUGACCAGCCACACUGGGACGGAGACACGGUCCAGACUCCUACGGGAGGCAGCAGUGGGGAAGAUUGCACAAUGGGCGCAAGCCUGAUGCAGCCAUGCCGCGUGUAUGAAGAAGGCCUUCGGGUUGUAAAGUACUUUCAGCGGGGAGGCGUGACCCGCAGAAGAAGCACCGGCUAACUCCGUGCCAGACGCCGCGGGAAUUC